rnacentral:snRNA from 1 species
AUUCCUCCAUUGAGGGACAUCCACAUAUAACUGGAUGAUAGAAGAUUAGCAUGGCCCCUGCUCAAGGAUGGCACGCAACCUUGUUACUAUUACAUGGUCAUU